rnacentral:rRNA from 1 species
GACAGAGGGUGCAAGCGUUGUUCGGAUUUACUGGGCGUAAAGCGCGUGUAGGCGGCUUGGCAAGUCGGAUGUGAAAGCCCACGGCUCAACCGUGGAAGCGCAUCCGAAACUGCUUCGCUCGAGUCUCGGAGAGGAAGGUGGAAUGCUUGGUGUAGAGGUGAAAUUCGUAGAUAUCAAGCAGAACACCUGCGGCGAAGGCGGCCUUCUGGACGAUGGCUGACGCUGAGACGCGAAAGCGUGGGGAGCAAACAGG